AGUGAACGCUGGCGGUAGGCCUAACACAUGCCAGUCGAACGGCAGCACAGUAAGAGCUUGCUCUUACGGGUGGCGAGUGGCGGACGGGUGAGGAAUACAUCGGAAUCUACUUUUUCGUGGGGGAUAACGUAGGGAAAAUUACGCUAAUACCGCAUACGACCUACGGGUGAAAGCAGGGGAUCUUCGGACCUUGCGCGAUUGAAUGAGCCGAUGUCGGAUUAGCUAGUUGGCGGGGUAAAGGCCCACCAAGGCGACGAUCCGUAGCUGGUCUGAGAGGAUGAUCAGCCACACUGGAACUGAGACACGGUCCAGACUCCUACGGGAGGCAGCAGUGGGGAAUAUUGGACAAUGGGCGCAAGCCUGAUCCAGCCAUGCCGCGUGGGUGAAGAAGGCCUUCGGGUUGUAAAGCCCUUUUGUUGGGAAAGAAAAGCAGCAGGUUAAUACCCCGCUGUUCUGACGUUACCCAAAGAAUAAGCACCGGCUAACUUCGUG
rnacentral:rRNA from 1 species